AGAAGAGGAAAAAAUAAUAAGGGUUUGUGUUGGAAAAAAUUUAAUCAGAAUUAUAAUAAGUGGGGAAAAAAUAAAAUGAAAUGGGAAAUAAAUAAGUUAGAAAAUAAUAAAAAGGUGAAAAAGAAACAAAAUAACACUAAGUGGGUGCGCUGAGGCUUGAACCCCUGAGCUUGGGGUCAACCCCCUCACCAACCGAGCCAAGCGCUCUUGGUGAUUAAAAAUGUGCUUAAAAU
rnacentral:lncRNA from 1 species